rnacentral:lncRNA from 1 species
AUGCAUACGAAACUUUAAUGAAUAAUUAUCGUUUGUAGUUUUUCAAAAUAACUAUUAUAUCCAAAAAAAAAAAUGGGAAAAUAAAUCUAUCGGAUAAAAACUACCGAUUUUUCUAUGGGACAAAAUUUAUCCUUAUUGGAGUCAAAUUUGUAAUAUGGAUUCAUACAGGACAAAACAUAUCCUGAGUAACGGAACAAACAAAAAAAAAAAAAAAAAAAACACCAUGGUAAAAUAAAAUCCGUCAUUCUUUUAGAAUAGUUCUCGAAGGUUAACAUAUAGUCAUAUAAUGCAGCGACUCUGUGGGAUUGCGACGUCAAAGACGUUAUAUCUGCCACUGUACAAAAUGAGAAAAAAAUGAACUUUCUUAAAACUGC